rnacentral:lncRNA from 1 species
GUUGCCAUCCCCCCGUGAUAAGAUAAAGAGCCAAACCAACCCUCCUCUUGUGGGGAGUCAAGUAUCCCUGAGUCCUUCCGCCUUGGCUCAAGUCAUUUGAAUAAGAAAGAAAUGAAUAGGGGCGACUUCACUUAACUUAACUGAACGUCGACUUAUCUGUCACAUAAAACUUCUAUCAAUGCUAAGGUAUAUAGAUAGUUUCUCUCCGAUUACCAAGGUACACGUUCCAGUUCAAGCGCCUUCUCAACAAGCAAAGAAAACUUCAUUCCUCUUACUCAUGUACCCUACUCUGCUUAAUUCAUUCUAUAGGGCGAGCUAAAGACUCUUCCACUGGUAAAGGUCUCCCCUUAAUUCAUUCUAUAGGGCGAGCUAAGGUUAUGGAAGAACUUCGUCGAAGAAAGUGAGAUGUUCGUUAAGCUAAGCUACGGAAAGAUUCUUAUGCGAAGAUCACACUGCAAGGCUCGCUUUACGAGACUCCGUCUAGAUAGAGAGUUUCGGGAGAGAGUCAAGUGGAGGUAACUAGACGACAAGCUACUGUUAGAUCUUUCUUCAGAAAUGCUAUUAGACAACUCUGCUGAAGCUAAUUGAAAGCGCUGCGGAAGCGGUUGAAGGACGAGACUGAUCCUGCUGCUUUGCAACGUAAGCAAUUU